GAUCAUUUUUGUUGUGUUUCUUUGUAAUUUUGUGUUGUACAAAGAUUAAUUUAACAUUUUCUCUGGAAGUAUUAAUUUAGAAAGAUAAUAUGCUUCAUUGGUGUUGUGUUUUGAAGUGUGAAAUGCAAAGUAAUCCUGAUAAAGUCAAGAUAAAGUUCACUUUUAAACUGAACUAAAUACGGUAUCAGCUGAGAGACAACAAUGGUUAAAUGCAAUACAAUGUAAGGUUUUACUAGCGAAAUGAAAAUUCUCCUGUCCUGUCUGCUGUAAUCAUUUUAUAUCUGGAAAACCAGCCGACUUAAUCGAUAAUAACAAUCCAGAUUGGGUUCCUUCAAUAAAUAUGGGCUAUAAACACAAUGAAAUAAGUUCCCCAAAAUCUAAAAUGGAGUGGUAUCAAAGGAGAAUUAAAGG
rnacentral:lncRNA from 1 species